GGUGAACGCUGGCGGCGUGCCUAAGACAUGCAAGUCGAGCGGGCCGCGGGGUUUUACUCCGUGGUCAGCGGCGGACGGGUGAGUAACGCGUGGGUGACCUACCCGGAAGAGGGGGACAACCCGGGGAAACUCGGGCUAAUCCCCCAUGUGGACCCGCCCCUUGGGGUGUGUCCAAAGGGCUUUGCCCGCUUCCGGAUGGGCCCGCGUCCCAUCAGCUAGUUGGUGGGGUAAUGGCCCACCAAGGCGACGACGGGUAGCCGGCCUGAGAGGGUGGCCGGCCACGGGGGCAAUGAGACACGGGCCCGACUCCUACGGGGGGCAGCAGUUAGGAAUCUUCCGCAAUGGGAGCAAGCCUGCCGGAGCGACGCCGCUUGGAGGAAGAAGCCGUUCGGGGUGUAAACUCCUGGACCCGGGACGAAACCCCCGACGAGGGGACUGACGGUACCGGGGUAAUAGCGCCGGCCAACUCCGUG
rnacentral:rRNA from 1 species